ACCAGGCACCAUGGCAUGUGCCUGUAGUCCCAGUUACCCAGGUGGCUGAGGCAGGAGGAUCGCUUGAGCCCAGGGAGUUCUGAGCCAUAGUGCGGUUAUGCCGAUUGGGUGUCCACACGUAAGUUCAGCAUCAUUAUGGUGACCUCCCGUAGUGGGGAACCACCAGGUUGCCUAAGGAGGGGUGAACCAACCCAGGUCAGAAACAGAGCAGGUCAAAACUCCCAUCUGAUCAAUAGUGGGAUUGCCCCUUUGAGUAUCCACUACACUCAAGCCUGGGCAACAUGGUGAGACCUCUUCUCUC
rfam:Chlorocebus sabaeus isolate 1994-021 chromosome 20, whole genome shotgun sequence.